UUUCUAGAGCUCCGAGGCAGCUAGUAGGGGGUGAGUGCGCCACGUGCGUGCGCCACGGGCGAGGAGGAGGCGGGCUCCGGGCCCUCCGGGGGCCUGUGGGCCUGGGUGCGCGGAGCGGGGGCGGGCUGUCUCGGCGGGGNNNNNNNNNNNNNNNNGCGGCUGCUGGUUUGGCGGCGAGGCCGCGUGGUGGGCUGUGGAGAAUGGGAGGAGGGCGCCACGGUGGUGGGUGGGCCCUAGAAACGCUCGGUGGCGGUGUUGGGGAGUUGCCGCGCUCAUCUGGUUUGGGGAUCGUGGGGCUGUUUCCCCCAGGUUGGAGAAAGACGACCCCGGAGAGCUGGGGCUGAGUCCCGAGCCUGGCGCCCAGGAAACCCACCUACGCACGGUGCACAAAGCGGUGGCACGCGGUCGGCGUCCGGCGGCCCUGGCCGCCCCGCGUGCUCUGAGUGGUGUGCGCGCCUUGGGGAGAGGGAGCGCGGCAGGCGCGGGUCCGGCCGCCGCCCCUGGCCCGCCAGUCAGCCCGGUUUUUCACCUGACGGACCAAUAGGAAAGGACGCGGUCUCAGAGCUGGAUUUUACAGCCCAAUCUCUCAGGGUCUACACGAUUAUUUAAAAAAAAAAAAAAACUAACAGCCAACUGCUGGCUCUGGUAGUUCAGCUGCCUCGUUGGUCUGUGCGCGUCUUGGCUAGGGAAAGGCCGCAAGCUACACGACAAAUGGGAGUCUAGGGAGAAAAGACACGAAACCCCCUAAACUUCCUUUCCGUUGCCGUCCCCUUUAUUUGUUAGCACGUGAGAGCAGUGCCGGGGACUCAUGCAGAAAUGCCAUCACGAAAUGCAAAUGUCUCGGCUGUCCUUUGAUCUGCCUGUGGAGCUGUAUCAAGGGCAGCAAGAGUGGUGGAAAGAUCAAUGCUCCAAAGGCAUUGUCAAGUACUCAGCUGAAUAAAUCAAAGGUGUGAAGUGUUUAUAUUGUCCUGCUCUUGAAGCUGUAAGCUGCUACCAAUAUGGUAGCCGCUAGCCGCCUAUGGCUCUUUAAGCUUAUUAGAAUUACAUAAAAUUUAAAAUUCAGUCCCUCAGUUAUACUGGCCACGUUUUAAGUGCUCGGUAGCCACAGGCAGCUAGCGGCUACCUUAUUUGACUGCGAGAUGUUGAACAUUGCCAUCAUUGCAUAAAGUUCUAUUGGAAUGUGCUGCUCUAGAGUUUUAAAUGAAUGCUGGUUAAAAAAAAAGAAAGAAAGAAUCUGCUUUAUGAUACCAGCCAAAUUUUAGGACACUCUUGGCAUUUGCAUUUCCUGGCACCAGUGUGGAAAGUUUUAAAGUCAGAAUUUCCGUAUCUUCUUGCUGAAAGAGGUCUAGGGAACAUUUAACACAAGCACCUAAUUUUUCACAGGGAAAACAAGUGGGGCCCGGAGAAGUUAAGAGAUGCACCCCCAAACGAUGCCAUAAAUUUAGAAAAAAGAUAAGGUCACCAGAGCGGGUCUAUCUAGUACACUUUGCGCCAGACGAGGGCACCUUGCCUGGGGUUGGCUAAGGCAAAUGAACCCUACAGAAAAGGGGCCUGAUGGAAGAUUUUCCACAGCAGUACCCUUUUAGAAGAGAAAAUGCUUCUAAGCACGCCUCUAGGAAGAAAUUCUAGUAAGAAUAAAGUGUGUGAGGGAAUAGCACUGUCACCCAAACUAAAAAUAUAUUCUUGGUAGCGUCAUAGUUUCAUAUGACGUCUUCUAAAAGAGACUAGUUGGAUUAACGUUCUUAUUUAUACUUAAAAAAUUCUGAGGAAAUGGAAUUAUCCUUUUAAAGUAUGAGCUAAAAAGCACUCUUAAGGUCGGGGGGGGGGGGAGUGUCAGGUGAGGGUUGUUACCAAAGCAUAGCUUCCUCAAGUUCGAUGAAGAUAUUAUCAGGUACGAGUUAUGGAACCUCCCUUUGCUUCAGUUUCCCCAUCUAUAAAAUGUGGAACAUAGUCUUAAACUUCGUUAUGAGGAUUCAAUGAGCCACCCAACAUACAGCACAAGACUGGAAAUUGGCAAACUGUACUAAAAGCCAUUCUUACUCUCCUGUGAAGAAUUUCAACUUCUACACCAUCAAGUUCAGGAUGAGAACUUCGUCAGUUUUAUUUUUAAGAGGUAGAGAUCUCUUCAGUCCUAAAAUUCCCUGACCAAAGGGGUAUACGUUCUUAUUUCCCUUUCAUAGGCAUGGUGUCUCUAGUAUACUUCCAGACUUUCAUUGUCUUAUUUUAUUAUUAUUAUUUUUUUUUGUCUUAAGGGAUGCUUCUUUCUACUUGUUAGCUGCUUGGUUGUUGAAAAGGCACUAGAAACUCCAAGUCCAUCCUCUUUCACCCUGGUUGACCUUUGGAAUGCUGUUGUCAGCCAAGAAGACAUUGAUAUCUUCAGUCUCCUGCUAGCUUGAAUUCUUUAGGGCAGAGCCUGCUCAGAUUAUCUCCUGAUGUCAUUCCAAAUGUCUGAUGGCCAUCUAUGGCAACGGGGCUGGGCCGAGGCCUUCCGGGAAGGGGGGCCCAUGGAAUGCCUAAUGGAGCAUUCUGUUCAAGAGAGACCUAGAGGUUGUUCUCUCUUGGAUGCAUGGUCAACAUUACAGCUAUGUCUAGAGGCCUGUUUGCUGCUUCUGGCAAAACGGACGCCAUAGACAUUUUGCAUUUUUGGUUUUAAAUAAAAUCCCACUUGGGAUGUGUAUGAUUUCUAUUGAUUUCAAUUGGUGUAAAUAUGUAUUAAAGAAGAAAAAAGGACUCAGAAAGUGUUAACAGUUAACAAUUUAUAUCUGGUAUUUCCUAUUCCUGCUAACUCUACUUAUUAAGAACACCAAAAUAAGACAAAGAAAUCUCGAAAGGAGAGAAUAAAGCCACCUCACUGCAAAAUGUACCUUGUUUUAUUUAUCUCUCUGGGUAAUUUUCUGAAAGAUGGUAUUUUACUUAGUUGAGAGCUUUUAAAGUUACUUCUUAAAUAUUUUUUUUUUACCUAAAAUUUUAAUCUAAGGAAAAUAAUACAAUUUUUUUCAAGAAGACAAGAUCAUGCAUAGAUUAAAUGCUUCCCAAUCUUACUAGCUUUGAAAAUAAGGAGAUACGUAAUUAUAUCCAUAUUCUAAUUUACUAGGAAAAAAGAGAAUUAAUUAUCGUUAGAAAUGAAGUCUCUCUAAAUUAUUUUGGACUAUGAUGAAAAUUAAAAGUAAAAUGCAAUAGAACUUUUAAAUUUAAGUCAGGGCUUAACACUAGUUUGUUUUACCAGUAUAUUCUACUUCACUGUGACAAAGACCCAAACCAAAAGGUCUGAUUUCCUAUAGAUACUUUUUUUUUUUUUUACUAAAUCUAUAGUUAAGUAUUUCAAUGUGAAUAAUAUUCAUAUUUGUAAUACAAUGCUAUUUGUAGUAUAUGUGCAAAAAUAAUACUAUCUUAUUAGAAUGACAGUUGAAAGAAAUCAAUUUAAAGUGCCUAAGAUUUAAUGGCCAUUCGCUAUUUGUUCGUCUUGUAUUAACUGCUUUAAUUGAUUUAAUUGUAUUAAUGGUUUUAUAAACUUUUUUCUUUUUAUCCAAACAACAACCUCUCAGAUAGACACUACAGUUUUCUCCAUUUUACAUAUUUUAACAACUUAAGUUUAAGGAGGUGACAUUACUUGCUCAGGGUCUAAUAGGUUAUAAGUGCCAGACAAAGGACAUGAACCUAGGUUGGUUUGUUUCCACUAGAUGCCCUUAGCUAUGAUGCCGUACUGCUUCCUUAGACUUAUAACCUUUGCUCAUUUAUGGGGAUGAUGAUAUCAGGGGGUGAUAUAAUCGAUUUUUUUUCCCACCAGAAAAUAUUUCACAAAUACAUGUCAUAACGUGUGUCAUUCUCUUUAAGGUAGACAGCUUAGGAGGUUGUUUGCUUAUUUCAGUAAUGAUGUCUUUAGCAUCAGUCGCUAUAGAAAUCUCUCUAGGGGUUUGCUAUGCAGCCUUAACAGUUGCUUGUUGGCAAAUCAUUAUCAUUAAUGAUGAAUUUGUUGGUGAAACUAAAUCCAAACCAAAAGUGGUGAACAAGGUGGCUUCAUGGAAACUAUGAUGUGAUUAUAAAGCAGAUUAUUUGUUAUCUGGCACAGAAAUUGACACUAAUUGUAGAUACAAAAGGGGAUUUACAAUGGUAUUUCUGAUGUGAACGUGUAGCCUGUAAGGAGACAUUUUGGCAAGUAGCACUAUUAAAUCAGAUACAUUUUUAAAAAGUUAGUUACACUAAUUCGAAGUUACACGUUAUGUAUGAACAUCCUGGGAAACACCUUUUCAAGGAAUGUUCAACAGGCAGAGAAGGGUAAAUUGAGACCCUGGAUUAGAAUCCAGGCUCAGGCACUUAAUAACCAUUUGACUCGAUUUUCUAAGUGCCCUUGUUAUUAAAUAGGGAAAGUGGCAGGAUCUACACAGGAUGAUAAUUUUGCUGAGAGGAGGUGUAGUCCUACCUAGUGCCUGGCAUGUAGAAAUUGCUCAAUAAAUGUUAGCUAAUGUUAUAUUAUUUCACUUUCAAGGACUGCUCCGUGUUCCUGAAAAACAUUUCAAUGUCUCAUUUAUCUAAUGAUAUUUUAGAAGAUGUUUCCUUUUCUGUCAGCUUACAUGCUUAAAGCAUUUUUUAUUUCAGUAUACAUCUUUUUAUAUUUGAAAUAAAUAUACAACAUUUAGGAUAGUAUGUUGAUUAAACCAAUAUAUUUUAUACCAAGAAGCCUUACAUUUUGGGGUUGCCAAUUUAUAUUAGCCUUGUUUGGUAUUCUUUUCAGAGAAACAUAUGUGUGUGUACAUGUUUGAUUUUAUCAGACUUUGCUCAGAAUAAGGCUCCAAGGUUUUAUUUUUUAGUUAUGUCAGACAUCUUCUAGACUGCUUAUUGAUGACAUAUUCUUACACUUAAAUUUAAAGAGGCUUCCCAUAAAUACACAGAAGUAGUAGCUUCUUAUUAAAUCUGAGUUUUUAAGUGUUUUUAGAUCAAUAUUAUGUGUGUGGUAUAGGCAAAAUUGUAAGGUCGCUGAAGUUUGUCUUUGUGUCACCAGCCUCCCUAUACUCACCUUCAACUUGUCCUCUUUCACUCUGGCAUACACCAUUCACCCAGCAGCAAUUUUUAAAAUCAGUAAUAGCUCUUUAUUGAGUGUCUCUGUCUCCUCACAGCUUUUCGCUGAUGUGACCCACAAGAUCCUUUGAUUCCUCAGCAGCCUCUUUAUGCUCCAGUCUUCUCCUGGACUAUGUUCUAUCCAAGAAGCCAGCCACUCCAACAGUUUACCUCAUGACACACUCUCAGUGUGUUACUCCUUUCUGUGAACUUCUCUUCAAAAGUUUUCUGGAAGGAGUUCAUUAUCCAAAGGAGUAUCCAUGAUUACACAAAUUCCAUACAUUCCCUGCCCAGCUGGUCAGGAGAUGCUCUAGAGAGGAGACUUUCCGAGUGUCUCAAGUCCCUCCCACUUUGCUGACAUGUAAGUGAGCCCUGGGGUAAGUGGGAAGCCUGGCUCUUACUUGAAGAAAAAUUUUAUUUUUUUGAAGAGAUUGUGAUCGGAGGAUGAAUUCUCUAUGAGCAAAGUAUCAUGAUGCUCCUUGAAAAUUUGUCUACUUAUUUUUUUAAGAAAUAUAAUAACACUUUAGUACCUGUUGUUCCAGUCUCUUUUCCUAUUCUCUCUUUGCACAGGAGGCACACAGUUGCUGCAUGUCCCUUGUGCCAUAGCUACCAUGUUGUCACUUGGUCUCACCCUUUGUGCACUCCCUUCUGCCCCCAAAAGUCAUCAGAGGUGUAAUUAGUGACUAUUUCUCCAAAAAUGUCUUGAAAGGGAUAUACGAACCCUGUGAUGAGAAUGUGUUUUGGUCCCUGGAUGAAGGUUAGAAUCUGGAAGGGGUGGAGAGAGGUUCAGGGUUGGAGGACAACAUACAUUCUACCCUUUAUCACUUCUAUGAAAUCACAGAUAAAGCAUCUUCCUAUAGGCAGAGAUGAAUCAUGUAAAUUAAAUAUUUCCCAACUUUGUAUGGCAUUAAACCUGUAAAUAUGGAACAUCCAUAUCAAAUGUACUUUAUAUUGUAUUCUGAAGAAAUUCAUAAAUGAAGAAAUUUGAUUCUAAGUGAAAGAUUUUGAGCACUAUUUAAAGAAGGGUAAGUAGGAAACAUUCUACAAUCUUCUUUUUUUACUCCCUUUGACCCCUUUAGCAAUAGUGAAAUAGCUAAUCAAUAGAUUUAAUUCUGUCUUUUCCAUGUCGUUCCCUUUUGUCCUUCAUCUUUUCGGCUCCUUCUUUUCAUUUUCAGUUGUAAAUUUUUUAUUUUCAGUUAUAAAGUCAGUAUAGCCAUAAACACACACACACACACACACACACACACACACUCACAUAAACACACACCACUGGUUAUUAACAAUCAAAAAUUUUUUUCGUGCUUUGGAAAGUUACAUUUUCUAUUUCAGAAUCAUGGAAUAUUAUUAAUAAUACUUUCCUAUUUAUUUGAAUAACUUCAAAAUAAAAAAAACUGCUAACAAGGGAACUUAUUUCUAAAUAAUUGAUGAUGUGUGCUACAGAUAAUAUGGUCAUAGAAGAGUUUUUAUGAUUUUUUGUUAUUAAUCACUAUAAUUACUCUGAUUACAAUAAUGAUUAACUCACAGUGAAUAAGGUAUGUGCUUGUGCUCUUUAUCUAUUUUUGAAGGAUUUAUGUUCAUCCAUCUACACAUUCCACACAUUCUCACCUCAUCCUUGCGUACCUGUGAGAUUCUAGUUUGGGUAGUGUAUGGCCACGAAACAGUUUGCACACUGGAGAAUAAAGCCUGUGGGUUCCCUUACAUUAUUGCUGGGCCUUAGCCUUCUAAACUCCCUGGGUCAGGGAUGAUCAUCUGAGUUUUCUAAAACUUGAAUGUAUUUGCUUAUAUACUUCUCAUAAAAAGCACUGUCUGUGCUAUUUUUAAAUGACUUUUCUGAAGAGUCAAUUCAAGCCAUUUUUCAUAUUUCAAGUCGUUUUAUUUAGUGCCUGAAACUCAAGUAGAACUUGAGAAUGAUUUUUGGCUUAUCUCUGGUGUUGGGUGAAAUUUAUCGUUUGCCAAUCUACAUAAAAAUAAUUAAACUAUUUAAGUGCAAAUGUAACUGACAGUAAAUAAAAAUGGACAUAAAACUUCUGUGGCUGUAUCCAUAUGCUUCCUUUGAUCUCUCAGGACCUGAGAUCACUAGGUGCUGGUUUUCUUGCUACCGAAGAGCAAGAGAACCAACCCUCUUGAAGAAGACUCUAAUGAGGACUGAACAAUCUACCACAAUUUUCUUGUUCUAGAGAACAACUUUUCAGAGGGCCUCAGAUUUGCUCAGAUUCCUAGGCUUCACCUCAGAUCCCCUGAGCAAGAACCUCAGGAAUCUGCAUAGUAACUAGCUCCUCAGGUGUUUCUUACGUUUAUUUUGUUUGCAGCCACUGCCUAAGGGUGAGGGUGAUGAUAAGAUCUGCAAAGUCUUCUAAUUCCAUAACCUUCUCCAUUAUUUGUUCCCACACUCUCAACUAAUCUUAAGUUUUAUGGAACCUUUAAAUUAGUGAACACCUUUCAAAAUAGUAACAAUGAGAGGUCAAAAUUAUAGGAAUCUUUCUUUCUUUUGCCUCCCUUUGCUCAUGUUGUAAACAAUCAAAAAAGACAUGCCAUGUAUAUUCUGCCCAUUGUGAUUAGAAAACCCAUUAAGCAAUAUGGGGACCUAAUACUUUCAAAUUUCUGUGCCUUUCUUCAUCUUUACAUAUCUGAGGGGUAGUGUUUAUCUUUUCUGGAUGAACUGUGCUCUUAGAUCCUGGUAUCUUAGCAAAACCUGUAAAAUGGGUUCCAGAUCCAGUGACCUCUACUGUUAGUGACACCUGAGCUGCGAGCCCAUUCCUAUUUCAAUAAGCCUAGAUUCCCUGCAACCACAAUCACAAUCCCUGUUCACAAUCACGUGAGAAAUGUGGCUUUUCACUAAAAAGAUUUUCAACUAAAACAAAUAUUCCUUAUCAUCUUGAUAAGUACCUUUGCCUGCCAUGCAAUCUUGUAGGGCCUUCACACCAUUGCCAUCCCAGGCAACAUGGGGAUCCCUAUUCCCAGCCUUUUAACUUCUCUGCAUAGCCAGCUGCUGCCAUUAACCUCUUUUGGAUCCAGAUAUUUUUAACACUCCAGGUUAGGGGUUCUCUGAUGAGCCUGUUUCUUGUUCCAGCAUUUUUCUGAGACGAACAAACAUGUUCUCAAGCUGGCUUACAGCACCAAGUGUGGUGAAUAUAUAUAUAUAUAUUAUUUUUCAUUUUUUAAAAUGUCCCAUUUUAUAAAACUAAAAACAUUAAAUGUAAAUGGCGAUUAAGUUUGUUUGUGUCAACUCAGCCUUAUAGAUUGUACUGAAAACUUCAAAGCUAUGUGUGAUAAUAUAAUUUUGAGGGUGAGGCCUUUCAUAUUUUGCUACCGGGGUACCUAAGUGGGAAAAAAUAUGGCUAGCUGAUCAGUCAUGUAUUAUAAAGUGAUUUUGUCUUCGCUACUCAUCUCAGAAGCUAAAAACUGGUGCUAGUUUUAAUUAUUUGGAAUGCAGCCAUGUGGUGGGCUUCUUCAGCAGUAGGGAGGGGGCAGGGCAUGCCAGUGUAGACAAAAACCCACGAAUAUUGUGCAGAAUCCUUUUGGGACUUCACAUGAAGCAGCGGUAACACCUUUUUACUGGAUAACUAGAACUGUUUUUGCGAUGAUUUACACAUAGCCCAGCAAAGAGUCACAUCCAUUUGGUAUCCUCCCCGAGAUUACAUGACUUGUUUCCAGUCACAAAAUUACUGAGCAGUGAAAUAGAGAUUACAGCUCACAGCUGCCUACUUCUGCCCUGGUGUUCUUUGGACAGUACUCUUCAGCUCUAACAAGAAAACACUUAAGAUCUUUCAAAGGCAAACGAGAAACAAGUCGUUCACGUUCACUAACACCCCUUUGAGAUGUAGGGAGAUGACUGGAUUUAUUUAAAAGUCUUAUGAUUUUGCAUAUUUUGCUUUGACACCCCUGCCUUUCACAAUUGUUAGAAAUGGACAUCAUUUACUGAUUAUUUUGCUUUGCAUACUGUUGUUGCAUAUUGUUAAAUGAUUUGCUGAUUAAUAACUAACGUUGAUUUGGACUAAAUGUAAUGGAAUAAGCAAAUACAUUUGUAAAAUUAGAUAUAUUGUAUAAUUUAGUUGCUAAUUGGUAUCAUAGAGCUGUUGGAGGUUAUUUUAGACCAAUCCCUUGCAGGGAAAUCCUGUCCACGAUUUCCUCCCAUAUCCUGUAGCAAUGUUUUAAGACCCCCUCCCCCGUUUAAAAAAAUUCAUUUGCUUGUCCGGGCUUUAAAGCAAACACUUGUCACAGGCAGAUACAGCUCCAAAGCUCUGGGUUAAAAUAAAUCCUUUUAAAUUCAGAACAUGGUAGUUAUCUCCUAAAUGAUUUCUUUUCUAGAGGGUCAGAAAAGAAUAAAGUAUUUAGUGUGAAUAUAUUUUCAUGACCUUGAUCGAAUCCGUAUGAUGGGCAGCAUUGUCAACACAAUAUAUUAUAGCAAUAUAAGAUAUUAAUAUAAUAAUUAUUUGAAUAAAUAACAGAUACUUAUAUUAAUAUAGGAUUAUUGAGUCAUAGAAUUUCUGAGCUGUUUGGAAACACUUGCUGAUGAGCCCUCUGGGGUCUAGAAGGUUUUGUAAUUAACACACAUACACCACACACACACACACACACACACACACACACACACACACGUGUGCUAGUUCAUUGUUGAGUCACUUAUAUGAACUGUUUAAUAUGUUCUGUACGUAGGUAAUGUGCGUAUGCUUAUGCUUUGGUACAUUUUGUAUUUUUAAUUAUUUUCUAAUAUUUCAAAAAAUUUUCAACCUGAACUUCUGAUUUCUGUGUUCAUUUUCUAAACAUAUACACUGUCAUUGAUUAUUUUUUAUUUCUGCUGUUUCAUAUACACCAUAAAUAUUUUCAGUUUGGAAAUCAGUUUAAAUAGCAAAGAGAAUCUAAAAAAGAAUUUGUACUAUAGAUAUUUUAAUGUGUUUAUGUUCUUUUUUUAAAAGCAACAUUUUAAUAUGCUCUGAUAAAACUGUAUUUCUCUAAUAAGGUAUUAAGUCUGGUGGCUGAAAAUAGUUCCCCAAAGGAAUGUCACUCACAUUAAUUUUCCAUGUGCUCUCUUUUACUUAUAGUUUCAUUGUCCGCAUGUUUAAAGUCUAAUAGAAAAAAAAAUCUCUGGAUAUGAAGUUGGGAGAUAGAUCCAAGUCUACAUCUACGUCCUCAUGUUGGUGACCUUGGGUAAAUUUUAUUUUUGUGCUUCCAUUUCAUUUUUUUAAAAACGAGUAGUUGAAAGCAUCAAAGAGUCUUUCCCACAAUUCAAACACUCCAUGAGCUCAAAAGAUUUGAUUGAAAGAAAUGUGUGGGCAUCAUUACCUGACUGUCCAGUAUUUUCAUGGUCACACACUUGUUCCGUAUAUCUGAAGUCCCUUUAAGGAAGUUAACUCUUUGUAGGUGUGAGAUAGGGUCAUCAAGAGAAGUGGGGUAAAUAGAAAAGGAAGGGGAAAUAAAUUAAUGACAAAGACAGAAUGAUAGGUGGUGGAAAUGAUUCCCUUUUUACUUCUUUAUAUCUAUGGUCUAGUUAUUCCUGUUUGAAAACCUUACUGGCACCAGGUAUUAUCAACAGGGAUGAGUAAUAUGUAAUUUUUAUCUUUACUGGGUUACAUUUGGCCCACAGACAGUUGACAGCUGUCAGUCAGGUGGCUGGUCAAUGAGGAGAUACAUGUAAAGCUGCCAAAGUAUUUUUGUUUCUUUAAAUACUUAUAAGUAAACCAUUUUAGUUGGAAGCUUCAUUGUCCUGAAAUUAAAUAGAUUGAUAUUCACAAUAUAAUUUGUUGAAGUUAGUUGCUGGGAAAAUCAAAAUUUUCCCUGCGAAUAUAUGGGUAAACAAAAUGUUUUUCAAAUGUCUUUCUGAAACAGGAGAAUAAUUAAUUUUUCUCUACUAUAACUAGAAAAGGCCAUCCUUAAGAUUUGAAGAUAUAUUGCAAAUAAGGCUUAAAAUUAAAAAAAAUUUUUUUUAAUUAAACUUUUAGUACACAUAUGAGUCAAUGCAACUUUCAGUCAUAAUUUCUGACUAAGACUUAUUAAAAGAAACCAUUUCCUUACAUUGAGGGGGUUGGUAUAGGUAUUUUUGUGACACAAGAGUUGAGGGUUUACCAGAAAGGACGAACGUGUACCUGCAUGUUGAUCUAGGAAUUAACGCUUCUUUUCAUAAUUACAGGAAAAAAAACCAUGGAAGUUUAGAUUAUGCUCACAGUUCAGGGCAUGGUUAAAAUGACAAGUUUUGGCUAUUUAGAAAUAUUUGGGCUAUACCUAAUAUUGUUUCUAAUAGGUUCAGUCACACUUAAAUAAUUCACGAGAGUCAUAAAAAAGAGAUUGGAAGAAGAUUUUGUAUGGCUUAUAUUUAGUGUUCAUGACAAACAAUAUAUUAAUUAUAGUCAAUAUAGUAAUGCACAUGAACACUUAACAAAUGUAAUUCUAAAGUUGACUUAAGAGUGUAUAUUCAGUGUUGCAGUAGUUGUCUCUAAAAGCAAAUGCUCUGAUUCUUUAGGAAUAUAGAGUUUAACAGACUAGAUAAAUAACAGAAAUAUCAAGUGCACGCAGUACAUACUCAUUUUUUAAGAGACUAAUGAAGUUAUCUAAAAAGUGCAGUGACUGGAGUUACUUAGGUGCCAGAAUCAAUAUAAUGAAGAUGAUAGAAUAUCACACAAAAAUAGCAGUUUGACACCACACUAUAUUCCUUUCUAAAAAAUAAAAUAUACUUUACUUUUAUGAACCAUAUUCUGCAUGUAAUAAUUUACAAUGAAAAUCAGACUUGGGUUUUACUUUUUAAAUUAUGUUUUAAAAAUAUUAGAUUUUUUGGGUGGGAAGAUCAUUUCCGGUAAUUUUUUAAACCGCAAAUAGUUAAUAAUUUUAAAACGGCAACGAAGUCAGUCUAAAAGAGUAUGAUACUUAUAAAUUUGUGGCUAAUCCAUAUCAUCAUUGAUUUGAAAAUUGUUUUAGAUGAAGUGGUCAUUAAAAAAAGUCAGAUCUUAUUAUUUUCCUACUAUAGAACUAUGUAUUAAGCAUGUAGAUUGAAAAUUAUUAUGAGAUCAUCAGAAUAAAACAAUUGCCUCAUAAUAUUAGUAAUUUAUACUGGUAGGAGCCUUUCUCUUCUUAAGCACCAAUUCUACCCCCCACAGCCCAGAAAAUUGAUUUUAUGGCUGAUAAUUUAUAGCAUUCUUGAUCAGUGUAUGCUGUGUGUCGUUUACAUUCAUUAGCCCAUGUUGCUUGUGAAUAUGGAAUUUGGUUGUUAAAAUGGUUUCAUAUGUUUACUAUGUAUAGUCUUUAGCUUUGAGCUCCUUACUUGCUUAAAUAAAUGUUUUCAAUUUGUAUAAUACAACAAUUUGUAGAGAAAUGCUGUGAAUCAUAGUUAAAAGAAUGAGUCCUUGAAAUAGAAUCAUUUUUUAAAAAUAUAUCCUGACACGUGGUCUUAUUUUUCCAUGUUUUGUAUUAAUUAAAAUCCUAUUCUGAAAAAAAUAUUUUUGCCUAAACUUUUGAAUUCACAAAAUAAAAAUACCAAAUAUAUAAAUGUACUAAUUUUGGAAAUCAGUGACGUAAAAACAUGCUUUAGUAAUGUCUUCGAUGUUUAUUCCAAAGAUUUUUCUCCAAAGAAACUCUUUGUAAAGUAAUGAGAAGAUGUUGCCACUUUUAAUUAUUAAAUAUUCUAUUCAAUACAUGUUUUUAAAUUGUAUUAUAAAUAAAAUUCAUUUCAUAUUCUCUUUAAUCAUAUUCCUGUCACAUGCACCCAUAAAAAAUAGUAGCGCAUGAAACGUUUGAAAAGAGCAUGUACCAUUUCACAUUUUUAUUUGAUUUAUUGAAAAAUAACAUUUUAUUCGGAAUAGAUUAUGACAGAAUUAGAUAAAAAAGAGAUGAAAUGUUAUUUAUGUGUUUGUUUUAAUAGUCCAAUAGCAUACGUGUAAUUACUUUUGCAUCUUUCAAAUAUUGGAGAUAGUAAUGAAAGAGACCGACAUUCAAAAUAUAAAGUAUUUCCUAUAAAACUUUUUUUGAAUGUAAAAAAUUGUCAAAUGGUAACAGCUCUACUUUCUACACCAGGCAAACCCACUGUUGAGUUAGUUGGCUCUGAUUCCAGUGGGUCUCAUCAGCUUUCUGAAUGUAGGUUCCUCAGCAGUGCCUCUUCCAAGAUAACAAAAUCAACUUUUAAAGAUUAAAAAAUAUAUUUUGGCAAUUGAAACUCACCAGUGCCUUUCUGCUUCUCCAGGAAGUUGUACCCUUCAGCACCUGCUGAGGGCUUUGUUGUCCAAACUCUGACAGGUAAAAAAAUUCCUGUAGAAUAAAGCCAGACCAGCUGGCUUUGAAGAGAAACCCCCCAGUUUGGGCUGCGCUUGUCUCUUCUCCUUUUCUAUGAAGACCCAGGCUUUCCCCCCUUGAUCGUCAAGCCGUAAGAUGCGUGAUCCCUGUGCACAAGUGUCUGGCAGGCCGAGGUGCACCUGUUCCUGUCACUCUGGGGUAAAUUUAGCUGUAAAGGUAUCACUGACAACCAGACCUUUGUCAGUGUUGGCAAAAGAACACAGAAUUGCUUCGCUCCCCUCCCCCUUCCAAGCCCCAAUGCUGCUAGUUCAAAUGGAAAAUAUCAAAUUGGAAGUCUAUCCAAAAAUCAUUCCUAAAAAAUGAGAUUGCUUUCAUAUGGUAAAAAAGUAAGUUUCCUCAUUUCACGCAGACUUUAAAAUUACAUUUCCAAGAAUAAUCUUGGAACAAGACAAGUUUUUGUUCAAUUAAUUGUGGCUGGAAACUUUUUAAUGGAAACAUAGCACACACUUACUUCAUUUCAGAUUAUUAAAUUGUGUUAAGCCUUAAAGUUAGUUGCCAUUCUUUGCUGUAGCUCAUUUGUUCUUUUCAAUCCAGAGAAAUAUUAGAACGUUAAAACUUAUCACAUAGGAGGGUUUAAUCAUCCUACCAAAAUUAGACAGCAUGUAGCUCUGAAAGACUGAAUGUCAAAUUGUGUGCUCGUAGCCCUUAAACUACUGAGAAUCUAGGACCCCACUACUACAUUUAAAAUGACUGUUCAUGUUUGUGGAAAACCGUGGACGUUUAGGAACUGGUAAAGCUAGAGGUCUCUUACUCUUUGAUUAAGGUAAGGACAUUUAUCGUUUAUGUAAAUUUUUUAGAUUAAUUGCUGUACUGACAGUUUGAGAACAAUUCCUUUUGAAGGAAAAUGGAGAGGCAGGCAGUGUUCAUUGCUAUGUCCGGCAUAAAUACAGUAGUUAACAUAUAUAAAGUAGCCCAAAGAGUAUUGUGUUUAGCCAAAGCAUUCUGAGCUUCUCUUUAAUAAUUAUGAUUUCUUAAGUGGUGUUAAAAAGAAUUGUGCAAAGUACCUGUUCUACCAUAUUAUUGCUGUUUACAAGGGCUGGGUGUGAUGAGAAAAAGAAAUCUGGGUCAAAAUAAAAAAUGCUUUGUAAAAUAAACAAAGUUCCUAUUUACUUACUAUGUAUAAACAGCCACUCACCAAGCCUCAUUUCUCCGCAGGGCACCACUUUCAGAUAAAAACAUAGACCUGAAUGGCAUCAUCCAGUAUCCAAGGAAACCAU
rnacentral:lncRNA from 1 species